AAGUGAUUGUUAAGCUACUAAGGGUGUACGGUGAAUGCCCUGGCAUCAGCAGGCGAUGAAGGACGUAGCUAGCUGCGAUAAGCCGCGGGAAGCCGCAAGCAGGCCGUGAUCCGCGGAUGUCCGAAUGGGGAAACCCAGGCGAUGAAUGCCGCCUAUCCGCUUCUGAAUCCAUAGGAAGCGAGAAGCCCACGCAGGGAAGUGAAACAUCUCAGUACCUGCAGGAAUAGAAAUCAAUCGAGAUUCCCCCAGUAGUGGCGAGCGAAAAGGGAAUAGCCUAAACCAUAGUGAUGUCAAGCCCGUGUGCGUUGUCGCUGUGGUGUCGUAGGGCUUCGUCUGACGGCGAUACGGCGCCGUCGGCAAGUCAAAAAUUAGGAUCUUAGUCGAACGGUCUGGAAAGGCCGGCCAAAGAAGGUGACAGCCCUGUAGGCGACAAGACCCUAACUUGCUGGACGGAGUUCCUGAGUACCACGGGGCUCGAGCAACCCUGUGGGAAUCCGGGACGACCACGUUCCAAGGCUAAAUACUCGCUGAUGACCGAUAGCGUACCAGUACCGUGAGGGAAAGGUGAAAAGAACCCCGGUGAGGGGAGUGAAAUAGAACCUGAAACCGUAUACCUACAAGCAGCGAAAGGGCUAUGCCCGCAAGGGAAUGCCUGAUCGCGUGCCUUUUGCUUAAUGAGCCUGCGAGUUAUCCUGCGUAGCAAGGUUAAGGCGGAAAGCCGGAGCCGUAGCGAAAGCGAGUCCGAAUUGGGCAUGUAGUUGCGUAGGAUAGACCCGAAGCGAAGUGAUCUACCCAUGGCCAAGGCGAAUCCGCCGUAACAGGCGGAGGAGGCCUGAACUGAUGUUUGUUGCAAAAAGCUCGGAUGAGCUGUGGGUAGGGGUGAAAGGCUAAACAAACUUCGUGAUUGCUGGUUCUCCCCGAAAUGUCUAGAGGGACAGCCUCGUGUCAGCCGUAACGGAGGUAGAGCACUGAAUGGGCUAGGGGCGUUCCAACGCUACUGAACCCAAUCAAACUCCGAAUGCCGUUACUGGACGCACGGGAGUGAGACUACGAGUGCUAAGAUCCGUGGUCAAAAGGGAAAUAGCCCAGACCGUCAGCUAAGGUCCCUAAGCGCAAGCUAAGUGGGAAAGGUUGUAACGUCGCUCAGACAGCCAGGAGGUUGGCUUAGAAGCAGCCAUCCUUUAAAGAGUGCGUAAUAGCUCACUGGUCGAGCGAUGGUGCGCCGAAAAUUUAUCGGGGCUCAAGUUUGCCACCGAAGCUACGGACUUUCCUCGCAAGAGGUGAGUGGUAGGGGAGCAUUCUCUGUGCAGUGAAGGUUGACCGACAAGGACAGCUGGAGCGCAGAGAAGAGAUUAUGCAGGCAUAAGUAGCGAUAAUUGAUGUGAGAAUCAUCAACCCCGUAAGCCUAAGGUUUCCUGGCCUAUGUUCGUCAGGUCAGGGUGAGUCGGAUCCUAAGCCGAGGCCGAGAGGCGUAGGCGAUGGUAAACAGGUCAAUAUUCCUGUACCACAGUGGUGGCGUUAUCAGCGAAGGGGGGGGGCAGAAGGGUAGGCACCGCCGGGUCCCUGGAAUACCCGGUCUAAGCGCGUAGGCGGGUCUUGCCGGUAAAUCCGCAAGACCGUUAUCGCCGAGACGUGAUGGGGAGGCCGUAAGGCCACAAACGGGCUGAUCCCAUGCUGACGAGAAAAGCCUCGUAGCGAGUCAUCAUUGUGUCCGUACCGCAAACCGACACAGGUAGGUGGGUGGAAUACACCAAGGGGCGUGAGAGAACACUUCCUAAGGAACUUUGCAAUUUAGCCCCGUAACUUCGGGAGAAGGGGUGCCACGCAUAGGUGAGUCUGUACAAGGUAAGCCGAACGUGGUUGCAAUAAAGUGGCUCUAGCGACUGUUUACCAAAAACACAGGACUCUGCGAACACGCAAGUGGACGUAUAGGGUCUGACGCCUGCCCGGUGCUGGAAGGUUAACCGGAGGAGUUAGCCGCAAGGCGACGCUUUGAAGGGAAGCCCCAGUAAACGGCGGCCGUAACUAUAACGGUCCUAAGGUAGCGAAAUUCCUUGUCGGGUAAGUUCCGACCUGCAUGAAUGGCGUAACGACUGGAGCGCUGUCUCGGGAAGUGACUCAGCGAAUUUGUUGUUCCGGUGAAGAAGCCGGGUGCCCGCAACUAGACGGAAAGACCCUGUGCACCUUUACUACAACUUGACAUUGGAUGUUGGAAGGGGCUGUGUAGGAUAGGUGGGAGCCUGCGAAGCGUGGCCGCUAGGUCGCGUGGAGGCGUCCUUGAAAUACCACCCUGACCGUUCUGAUAUUCUAACUCGGCCCUGUCAUCCAGGGCGAAGACAGUGUCUGGUGGGUAGUUUGACUGGGGCGGUCGCCUCCCAAAAGGUAACGGAGGCGUUCAAAGGUUCCCUCAGGCUGGUCGGUAAUCAGCCGUCGAGUGCAAAGGCAGAAGGGAGCUUGACUGCGAGAGCGACAGCUCGAGCAGAGACGAAAGUCGGACUUAGUGAUCCGGUGGUUCUGUGUGGAAGGGCCAUCGCUCAACGGAUAAAAGGUACGCCGGGGAUAACAGGCUGAUCUCCCCCAAGAGUUCACAUCGACGGGGAGGUUUGGCACCUCGAUGUCGACUCAUCGCAUCCUGGGGCUGAAGCUGGUCCCAAGGGUUAGGCUGUUCGCCUAUUAAAGCGGUACGAGAGUUGGGUUCAGAACGUCGUGAGACAGUUCGGUCCCUAUCUGUUGUGGGCGGAGGAGAGUUGAGAGGGGCUUUCACUAGUACGAGAGGACUGUGAAGGACGGACCUCUAGUGUGCCGGUUGUCGCGCCAGCGGCAGUGCCGGGUAGCUAUGUCCGGUGGCGAUAAUCGCUGAAAGCAUCUAAGCGAGAAGCGUGCCUCAAGAUAAGCUCUCCCGGGGCGUAAGCCCCCUAAAGACCACUCGUAGACGACGAGUUUGAUAGGCUGGGUGUGGAAGGCUCGUAAGGGCUGUAGCUAACCAGUACUAAUCGGUCGUGCGGUUUAACAUCCUUUGCUC
rnacentral:rRNA from 1 species